rnacentral:rRNA from 1 species
GGCUCAGAACGAACGCUGGCGGCAGGCUUAACACAUGCAAGUCGAACGCCCUGCAAGGGGAGUGGCAGACGGGUGAGUAACGCGUGGGAAUCUACCUAGUUCUACGGAACAACAGUUGGAAACGACUGCUAAUACCGUAUACGCCCUAUGGGGGAAAGAUUUAUCGGAAUUAGAUGAGCCCGCGUAAGAUUAGCUAGUUGGUGGGGUAAUGGCCUACCAAGGCGACGAUCUUUAGCUGGUCUGAGAGGAUGAUCAGCCACACUGGGACUGAGACACGGCCCAGACUCCUACGGGAGGCAGCAGUGGGGAAUAUUGGACAAUGGGCGCAAGCCUGAUCCAGCCAUGCCGCGUGAGUGAUGAAGGCCUUAGGGUUGUAAAGCUCUUUCAG